rnacentral:rRNA from 1 species
GCGAGAAAACUUUGCAAUGUGCGAAAGCCUGAUGGAGCGACGUCGCGUGAUGGACGAAGUGCUUCGGCACGUAAACAUCUUUUUAUGUGGGAUGAAAUUAUUGACAGUACCACAUGAAUAAGGGGCUCCUAACUCUGUGCCAGCAGGAGCGGUAAUACAGAGGCCCCAAGCGUUAUCCGGAAUCACUGGGCGUAAAGGGUGUCGAGGCGGUUGUAUUAGUCGUUCGUAAAAUCUACGAGCUUAACUUGUAGGCGGCGAACGAAACGGUACGACUUGAGGUUUGGAGAGGUGCGUGGAACUCACGGUGUAGGGGUGAAAUCCGUUGAUAUCGUGGGGAACACCAAAGGCGAAGGCAGCGCACUGGCCAAAAUCUGACGCUCACACACGAAAGCUAGGGUAGCGAAGAGGAUUAGAUACCCUAGUAGUCCCUGAGCGGGCUGGCAAGGCG